AGAACUCUUCUGCUUGCAGAAGAUAGUAAAGUGGCGCACGGGUGAGUAACGCGUGGGUAAUCUACCUCCGAAUUGGGGAUAACCCCGCGAAAGCGGGGCUAAUACCGGAUAAUAUCUUUUAUGUUUCGGCAUUUAAGAUCAAAGGUGGUCUCUACAUGUAAGCUACUGUUUGGAGAUGAGCCCGCGUGCCAUUAGCUUGUUGGUAGGGUAAUGGCCUACCAAGGCUACGAUGGCUAGCUGGUCUGAGAGGAUGAUCAGCCACACUGGAACUGACACACGGUCCAGACUCCUACGGGAGGCAGCAGUGAGGAAUUUUGCGCAAUGGGGGAAACCCUGACGCAGCAACGCCGCGUGAGUGAUGGAGGCUUUCGGGUCGUAAAGCUCUGUCAAGUGGGAAGAACAUGCUCGAUGUUAAUGCCAUCGUGCACUGACGGUACCACUGAAGGAAGCACCGGCUAACUCCGUGCCAGCAGCCGCGGUAAUACGGGGGGUGCAAGCGUUAUUCGGAAUUAUUGGGCGUAAAGGGCGCGCAGGCGGUCUCUUAAGUCAGAUGUGAAAGCCCGGGGCUUAACCCCGGAAGUGCAUUUGAAACUAAGGGACUUGAGUAUGGGAGAGGGAAGUGGAAUUCCUGGUGUAGAGGUGAAAUUCGUAGAUAUCAGGAGGAACACCGGUGGCGAAGGCGACUUCCUGGACCAAUACUGACGCUGAGGCGCGAAGGCGUGGGGAGCAAACAGGAUUAGAUACCCUGGUAGUCCACGCAGUAAACGGUGAACACUAGGUGUAGCGGGUAUUUACCCCUGCUGUGCCGCAGCUAACGCAUUAAGUGUUCCGCCUGGGGAGUACGGUCGCAAGAUUAAAACUCAAAGGAAUUGACGGGGGCCCGCACAAGC
rnacentral:rRNA from 1 species